GUUCCCAUUCCGAACACGGAAGUUAAGCCCUCCAGCGCCGAUGGUACUGCGUGGGAAACUGCGUGGGAGAGUAGGUCGCCGCCGGGG
rnacentral:rRNA from 1 species